UACAGAGGUCCCAAGCGUUGUUCGGAUUCAUUGGGCGUAAAGGGUGUGUAGGCGGCGCGGUAAGUCGGGUGUGAAAUCUCGGAGCUUAACUCCGAAACUGCAUUCGAUACUGCCGUGCUUGAGGACUGGAGAGGAGACUGGAAUUUACGGUGUAGCGGUGAAAUGCGCAGAUAUCAGGAGGAACACCAAUGGCGAAGGCAGCACUCUGGGACGUGACUGACGCUGAGACGCGAAAGCGUGGGGAGCAAACAGG
rnacentral:rRNA from 1 species